UACUGAAGAAACGAAAGAGAGAAAAGAAGGGAGUGGUAGCCAUUGCUAGUGGCCGCCAUGUUUUUCACCAAGUGGGGUGUUUAGAAGGCCGGGGUGAAAAAAUCAUCUCUCAGGAUAUGCAGUGUCAAAAUGGGAAGGAGAUUUAAUUUUUCCUUCAUAAAGACAUGCCAUCCCAUCAACGACAGCGGAACCUCCACCCAGGUACGACAACCGGAACUACUGUAACUUAAUAAAUAAAAAAACAAACAAUAGAAAUCUUAAAAAAAAGUCAACAUCUAAGAACUCGUUUAAAUAAAAGAAUAAAUAUAAAAAAAAAAAAUAAAUAAAUAAAUACAAGAGCAAGAACAACCAACAGGAUUUACCGAUAAUCUUCAAUCUCGAAUCUAAAAUCUUCAAAUUAAAGGAACAAAAUUCAACGGAUUCAUCGUUACAGAUUAAAAAUGUGGUUUUAUGAGUGAUUAAUUUUAUUAGUAACAUAUUUAUUAAAAGAGUUUGAAGUAAUUUAGUGGUGGUGGUGACCUAAGUCACUUUUGAGGACGGACAAUAAAUUUAAUUAAAAAAUUUAUUGAGAGAUGAUCACCCCGGAGGCAGUGGAGUUAGCAAAAUUAAAAGGUUCAUGGUGUAGAUCGCUGCUUAGGGAAUGAGGAAUCCGGGCCUACGUUUAGUCGGGCUCACGACGUCACCAAGUGGUGGCGGCGUAUUUGGCACACGGGCCGAGGAGGAGUUGCGACAUUGGCUUGAAUCACGCUUGGAUGCAUUGGGUAUAGACCCGGUUGCGUACUCGCGUUUUGUACUUAGCCUUUUACGUCGCCCCCCCGACUCGGCCCUGAGUCCUCUCGACGAAGACAUUGACUUUGCCGUGGUUAAUCGUCCUGCCGGUGGCGGAGGUGCUGGUGCUGGAGGACGUCGGCAUCACCAUCGUGUCAGACCUAGAGCCCGGAUAUCUGGUGAUCGUGAUCAGCGACGUGCUGUUGUUCAAUGUCUCACAAAUGCUGCUGAU